CGGGGCGUAGCGCAGCCAGGGUAGCGCACCAGCAUGGGGGGCUGGGGGUCGCUGGUUCAAAUCCAGUCGCCCCGACCA
rnacentral:tRNA from 1 species